rnacentral:rRNA from 1 species
AAUAGAUACCCAGGUAGUCCUGGCUGUAAACGAUGACCACUAGAUGCACGCGGGCUCGACCCUGGGUGUGUCGCAGUUAACGCUUUAAGUGGUCCGCCUGGGGAGUACGGUCGCAAGACUAAAACUCAAAGGAAUUGACGGGGACCCGCACAAGCAGCGGAGCGUGUGGUUUAAUUCGAUGCAACGCGAAGAACCUUACCAAGACUUGACAUGUCGCGAAUCUUCUUGAAAGGGAAGAGUGCCUUAGGGAGCGCGGACACAGGUGCUGCAUGGCUGUCGUCAGCUCGUGUCGUGAGAUGUUGGGUUAAGUCCCGCAACGAGCGCAACCCUUGUCCUGUGUUGCCAUACCGAAAGGUGGAACUCGCAGGAGACCGCCAGGGAUAACCUGGAGGAAGGUGGGGAUGACGUCAAGUCCUCAUGGCCUUUAUGUCCAGGGCUACACACGUGCUACAAUGGACGGUACAAAGGGCUGCCAACCCGCGAGGGGGAGCCAAUCCCAAAAAACCGUUCUCAGUUCGGAUUGCAGGCUGC